rnacentral:lncRNA from 1 species
AUGCAUUACCCAAGCUCUCUGACACAGAAGAGAAGGGGUGCAGAGGAGAAGUGUCUUGUGCGGUACUGCUCGGGCUGGGGUUCCCUCCUGCCCCACAGCUGGACCUCGGCCGGGGCCCUCCUACCCCACCCCUUCCCAGGAGUCACGUGGCCGGGAAAGCCUGCAGCCCCGCACCCCUCCAGACGUCUCCGCAGGACAGCCCGGGAAACCGCCCCUCCUGUGGGCGGAGGUCCCCGAUCCCCCGAGGACCCCUCCCCUCAGCAAUGGCUUUCCCAGGUCUUCCGGCGGCAGGGCCUUCCCCCAGAAGGAAGUCUCCUCGGUCGCAGGGAAAGUUCUCGAGCUGCAGGAGUCCCCGGCGGCCUGGGCCUGUCCCCGCGUCCCCCCCCCCCCCCACCCCACCCUCCCGCUCUCCCGCCGCAGCCCCCUCCCCUCGAGCUCCCGCGCGGUGGAGCCAGGCUGCCCCGGAAGGAUCUGACCGGCCACUUCCUGCAAUUGUGUCUCUGGACGGAGUCCUCGGGCGUCCAGCGCUCCCAGUCUCCCCCCGGAGCCCGGGUCUCUCACGUCCCCGCCCCGUUCGCCGCCCGCGGCAGUCCCUCCGCUCCCCUCCCGGCAGCCGGCAGCUCGGCCGGGCGUGCGUGGUUACCGGGGCAACCGGCCCGGCCGGCGUGCGUAGUUACCGGGGCAACGGGGCGCGUUGGGGGUGGGGGGGGGCCGGGGGCUGAGCUCGCGCUCGCGGAGAACCCGAUCGGCUGCGCCUCAAGCGGCGGGCCGGGGGCGCAGAACCGCGAGGGGAGUCACCGCACCAGGCGAAGUGGGGGGACGGCGCUGGCUCCUUCCUCACCCCGGACCGCCGCUGCCCUGAACACAGCCCGCCCGCCCGCCCUCCAGGUCCCGCGGGUCGUGGACUCCGGGAAGAGGCUCUGGGAGCUCGGAGGAGGGGCCUGUCUGCGCCUGAUGGAUGGCACUGAAGCAAUGUCUGGCACUUUCCUUCCUCGCGGGGGAGGCGAAGCUUCGGCCACCUCUCCCCCGCGUUCGUUCGCAUUCCUGCCCGCCUGCUCAGGAAGGGCUAGGGGUGGGCGGCUGGAGCAGGGCCAGCUGAGGCUCGCUUUGCACACUACCAUUCACAUUUGUCUACACUGGCAUGGGAGUGGAGGGGCGGGUGGACAGUCCCCAAAUCUCAACUGA